CUCAGAUCAUGUAAGAUUUUAAUGAUCGAACAGAUCAAAAUUUUAAACUUUUGCAUUUAAAUUUUAUCUUAAUCCAACAUCGAGGUCGCAAUCUUUUUUUUUUAUUUGAACUAAAAAAAAAUAUUACGCUGUUAUCCCUAAGGUAAUUUUUUCUUAUAAUCAUUAUUAAUGGAUCAUUUAAUCAUUUAUUUAUGUUUAAUUUUUAAAAAAAGUUAAUUUAAUUUUUCUAUCACCCCAAUAUAAUAAUUAAUUUUAUUUCAAUAAAAAUUUUUAUAUAAUUUUAAAAUAAAAAUAAAUAUAAAACUCUAUAGGGUCUUCUCGUCUUUUAAAAUUAAUUUAGCUUUUUAACUAAAAAAUAAACUUCUAAAAAUAAAUAAGAGACAGUUUAUAUUUCAUCAAAUCUUUCAUACAAGUUUUCAAUUAAAAAACUAAUGAUUAUGCUACCUUUGUACAGUCAUUAUACUGCAGCCCUUUAAUUAUUAUCAGUGGGCAGAUUAGACCUUAAAUUAUAUUCAAAAAGA
rnacentral:rRNA from 1 species